rnacentral:rRNA from 1 species
GACGAACGCUGGCGGCGCGCUUAACACAUGCAAGUCGAGCGAGAACCAGACCUUCGGGUCUGGGGACAGCGGCGAACGGGUGAGUAACACGUGGGUAAUCAACCCUCGGUACUGGGAUAGCCCGGGGAAACCCGGAUUAAUACCGGAUGGCCCUUCGGAUCUUCGGUUCUGAAGGAAAAGGUAGCUUCGGCCUCCGACCGUGGACGAGCCCGCGGCGGAUUAGCUUGUUGGUGGGGUAACGGCCUACCAAGGCGGCGAUCCGUAGCUGGUCUGGGAGGAAGAUCAGCCACACUGGGAGUGGGGAACGGCCCGGACUCCUACGGGAGGCAGCAGUGGGGAAUCUUGCGCUAAUGCGGGAAACCGUGACGCAGCGACGCCGCGUGAGGGAAGAAGGCCUUCGGGUUGUAAACCUCUUUCAGGAGGGACGAAGCUACUCGGGUUAAUAGCCCAGAGGGUGACGGUACCUCCAGAAGAAGCCCCGGCUAACUACGUGCCAGCAGCCGCCGUAAGAC